UUACCUUAUCCAAUCGUCCACCUUCCGCAGCGAGGCAUCGCCUCCCAGAUCUCGCUGCUUCUACACCCACACCGGCGCCGGCGCGCCGCAUCUCCCAAAUCCGUCCCUGGAUCGACCCGCCUCCUCCAGUCUUCUCUAUCCACCAUCCGAACCAAGAGCUGUUUCCGUCAUCUCCACUUCCCCAAGCCGCCCCUGUCGCUGGCGCUUCCACCGCGAUGUUCACGAUGACGGCCGGCUGAGGGAUCCAUCGGAGGCGACCUCCGCAAACCGCCUGGCGAUUUCUCCUCCGUCCAGAGCACGCAGUCGACGCUUGCGCCGGCAAGUUUGUUCACCAUGGCGACCGCGCUGGCGGGCUGCGCCUGGCCUUCGGUGCCCUCUAAGCUCUACGCGCCUUUCACCUUGCGUUGCCUUUGGUGUGCCCCUGCCAUGUCAGGUAAGCCUGCAGGUCCGGCGCCCACAACCCCUCUGUUCUUCUGCUUUCCUCAACCUGUGUCCGUAUGCUGCUCCCUCUUGUACCUUUUCGUUCCUCUGCUCUACUUCUUACUGUUAGGAGUAAUCUUGAGUCAUGUACGAGUUGCUAGAGAAGUGCUUGCUAUUUCAGCUAGGUUAAUUAACGCAAAAGUGAGUUACUAGAACUUUCUCACCCUAGUAUUGUUGGCCACUGUAAUUCCUGCUGCACUGUCUUCAGUUAGCUAAGUGUUUAUUAUUCAGUUUCGUCAGAAUAAGCAUGCACCGGGAGUCUGUUCUGGUGCGUGCACGUAGUCUUUGAUUUUCUGCAUGCAGUAGCUAGUGCCGCAGUGUUCGCUCUUGUGGGAUGGCACGAGAUCAUGCCGGACAUGGCGGCGUUGAGGCAGCGUGCAAGUGGCUGUGGGAUGGCGCAGCCGUUAGCUCAAACGUGGCCGGUAGACUAGGAUAAUUCUGUUACUGUAACAGCAUAUAAAUAAAAGGAGAAGAAAACGCUGCAGUAAGCUGCACGCAGCACAAAUUACUCUGUCUUUUGUUCUUCAGUUACGAAGGAUGAGUGACAGAGAGCACCGGCUGCAACUACAAGUAUGUCUUGAGGUGUCUACGCGUGGAAGAGUACUAGAUGUAUCUGAGUAGGUUUAGGCUAAUUGUGUUCAGUGUGGCCGGUGAUUAAGUGUCCUGGUACUGGUAGUACUAGGACGGCCAUGUACGAGUUGGUUUCAAGAUCAAGAACAAGCAGGUCCUUGGUCGGUUGUCUCAUGCAUAUUUACACAUAUGCUGGUGCGUGACAUUGUACCACAGGAAGCUGACAAGAAAAAGUGAAAAAAAGAGGGCACGAUACAAGCCCUUGGCUACAAGUUUUUUUUGUGUGUGAGUGUUCGUCGUCUCUGAUGUGAUUGAUCCAUGGGCAGAAUUCCAACACUUACAGAUAGUAACUGAAUGGUCCAGAUAAAGUUUAUUGUCGAGAGUUUUGCUGCAUGAUAGGUGUACUAAAUAUGUUCUGUUUUAGUCUCUCUUCCCCUCUUGUUGAAAGCAAAUCUCCACUCCAAAUAUAGCUUAAUCAAUCAAAUUCAUAUGUGUUGUUUAGAAUUUCUGCAGUGAAACAAGCCCUUUUGAUUCUAGCGUUGUUGCCUUAGAACAAAUAAUCAUUCUAGGGUUUGUUAUGAUAUUUUGUUUACAGUUCUGCAUAUAUAGGCAGCAAAUAGAAGUGACAUAACAUGGGCUUUUGUGGGUCUGCCGUUCUUGCUUGUUCAGAAAUGUGGCCAGAUGACAUUGUGACAAUUGAUUUUGAGUCUGCUAGCAUACAUAUUUUCUGAAAUGCAGUUCUUUAGUUAUACUUAAUGCCACAUUUUGUGCCCUGGUUGUGUUUGUGAGAUACUGAGAUGUCUUUCUGCUUUCAUUGCAUAUGUAAGAUGGUCGGGAGCUUGUAAAACUGCAUGUCAUAUCUGAUGGUUGGAUAUAUGAUUUUGUUGUUCGCCCCCUUCCCUGAAAGUACAUGGUGUAAUUAAGUUAUCUACGUUAAUAUGACAAGUUUCUGGAAUAAGCGUGAUGAAUAGAUGUAUCUUGCUAUUAUGAAAGUGAUUAUGUUUUUUAAUGAAGUGAUGCAGCUGCAGCGGCGUGUAACAUGUAUUCAUUGCAAUAUUGUCUUAUUUGUGGAGAGAUUGGUCAGUAUUUUGUGGUUGAUGGCUGUAGCUGGCUUUUCCUUUUAAAAUUUACAUGUGGUGGGACCAGAACACAUGUGCCAUCAAAUUCACUUUUUCUCCUAACAUACUUAUACUUUGCACUCUGAUCUUUGUAGAAAAAACCUUGCUGGUUCAUGGUGAAUGGUGUGAAAUGGAAUAGAAAGAAAAUUCUUGUGCUUGCACAGAGUGGAAGCGAAUGUGAUCGGGGGGUCACCGUCAAGAGAGUGCUUCCUUGGCUCGUUACCAAAGGAAAAUGGCUCACAAGUAGCUGGAUUUUUUUAUGUGAAGAUGCAUCAGUGCAUUUUAGGACUCGACGAGUUGUGUGGGCUCACGGAAAAUUGGCUUCCUCGCGUCGAUGUGCUGCUUGCUUUCUUCUUUGUAUUUGUUCAAGGUGAAGGUUGGGUGACUGAUAUGAUUGGGUCACUAGUAUACUACUCUUGCAGUCACAAGUUCGUAGAUGUGUGUUCUGUGAGCUAAAAGGAUCUAUUUCUAGCAUCUAAAGAAGUUAUGGACAUUUUAGUAUCUAUCUGAUGAAGUAGCACUCUAGGAUGGAUCAGUUUCUUACUGAGACAUGAUGGUAUAUAUCUAGUGAUGUAAUACUGGACAUAUGAACCUACAAAUGUAUGCCUAUGUAUAUAUCUAGACACGAUGGAUUGUUGUCCUUUUGGAUGUGAUGUAGUACUGGACUUGUGAACCUACAAAGUGUAUACCAAUGUAUGUAUGCAGACAUGAUGUAUUGUUGAGAUAUAUAUUAUGUCUCAGUUGAUGUGACUUUAA